rnacentral:rRNA from 1 species
UCAAAUUUGAAAUCUGGCUCUCGGGCCCGAGUUGUAAUUUGUAGAGGAUACUUUUGAUGCGGUGCCUUCCGAGUUCCCUGGAACGGGACGCCAUAGAGGGUGAGAGCCCCGUCUGGUUGGAUGCCAAAUCUCUGUAAAGUUCCUUCGACGAGUCGAGUAGUUUGGGAAUGCUGCUCUAAAUGGGAGGUAUAUGUCUUCUAAAGCUAAAUACCGGCCAGAGACCGAUAGCGCACAAGUAGAGUGAUCGAAAGAUGAAAAGCACUUUGAAAAGAGAGUUAAAAAGUACGUGAAAUUGUUGAAAGGGAAGCGUUUAUGACCAGACUUGGGCUUGGUUGAUCAUCUGGGGUUCUCCCCAGUGCACUCUUCCAGUCCAGGCCAGCAUCAGUUUUCCCCGGGGGAUAAAGACUUCGGGAAUGUGGCUCUCUUCGGGGAGUGUUAUAGCCCGUUGUGUAAUACCCUGGGGGGGACUGAGGUUCGCGCAUCUGCAAGGAU